rnacentral:rRNA from 1 species
GUAUGAAUGGCUAAAUGAGGGCCAAACUGUCUCCUAAUACUAAUCAAUGAACCUGAUCUCCCAGUACAAAAGCUGGAAUACCCACAUAAGACGAGAAGACCCUGUGGAGCUUAAAAUAUAAGUACUAAUUUAAUACCAAACCCAACAAGGCACCACACCACUACAAUAGUACACAUUUUUAGUUGGGGCGACUGCGGAAAAAAAUAAAACUUCCAUGCACAGGACCACAAAAUCCACCACCAGGUUAACAAACCAAAAUAAACCUUGACCCAGCACUGCUGAGCAACGAACCAAGUUACCCCAGGGAUAACAGCGCCAUCCUCUUCAAGAGCCCCUAUCGACAAGAGGGUUUACGACCUCGAUGUUGGAUCAGGACCCCCAGGUGGUGCAACCGCUACCAACGGUUCGUUUG